CCCGAUCUUGUAAGCCUAAGUAGU
rnacentral:snRNA from 1 species